CGUAAGGCGCCGAAUGAGUCAUUAAAAAAAUUAACAUCAUCCGAUCCCUAGUCGGCAUAGUUUAUGGUUAAGACUACGACGGUAUCUGAUCGUCUUCGAUCCCCUAACUUUCGUUCUUGAUUAAUGAAAACAUCCUUGGCAAAUGCUUUCACAGUAGUUAGUCUUCAAUAAAUCCAAGAAUUUCACCUCUGACAAUUGAAUACUAAUGCCCCCAACUAUCCCUAUUAAUCAUUACGUCAAUCCUAGAAACCAACAAAAUAGGAUCGAACGUCCUAUUUCAUUAUUCCAUGCUAAUGUAUUCAAGCGUUAGCCUGCUUUAAACACUCUAAUUUUUCAAAGUAACAGUCCAGAUUCCCUGCAACACCAAAUUAAUGGCAUUACAGCUCAUCAGGAAGGAGGAAUCAGUGAGACCAGUACGUACCGGUGGCACGACCAACCUACUGACCCCGAAAUUCAACUACGAGCUUUUUAACUGCAACAACUUUAAUAUACGCUAUUGGAGCUGGAAUUACCGCGGCUG
rnacentral:rRNA from 1 species